rnacentral:rRNA from 1 species
CGGCGGACGGGUGAGUAACGCGUGGGUAACCUGCCUCAUACAGGGGGAUAACAGUUAGAAAUGACUGCUAAUACCGCAUAAGACCACAGCGCCGCAUGGUGCGGGGGUAAAAACUCCGGUGGUAUGAGAUGGACCCGCGUCUGAUUAGCUAGUUGGUAAGGUAACGGCUUAUCAAGGCGACGAUCAGUAGCCGACCUGAGAGGGUGACCGGCCACAUUGGGACUGAGACACGGCCCAA